rnacentral:lncRNA from 1 species
UUUAUUAAAAUUAGAAGAUAGCUCAGCUGGAACACUGGAAGGAAGCAGGCUCGAAGAUGGCUCAACUGAAAUAUUGGCAAGAAGGAAACCACGUGGACUUACUGUACAACUGGAGAAAUAAUCACAUGGACUUGAUAACAGAGCAAUGGUAGAAUAGUCUAGAAAGAAAUUGGUUGGGCAAGUUGGAUUUGUUGACAACAACCUUUCUCUCUCUCUCUCUCUCUGUGUAAAUUUGUUAGGAAAAGAUUCCUUUUAGUUGUAUAUAUACACAUUCCCAUUGUAUAUGAAAGAUACAGUUGAAUGAACAAAAAUUCUCAAUAUUAUUUCAACUAAAUUGUGUUGAGUAUUUUUCAUUCUCCAAAACCAAUAUGGUAUCAGAGCAUGAGAUAGAGGGAUCCAAUUCUGAAAAUACAGAUCCUUCCCCAAAUACAAAUCAAAACCAAAACCAACAGCAAACUGGUGGAAGCAACACGUCAAUUUUCCCCCAUGAUCCAGCCCAUCCUAGCAGUCCCUACUUCAUUGGCAGUAAUGAUGGAAGUGCUACUGUACUGGUCAGCCAUGUUUUAGACUCUACCGACUACUAUUCCUGGGCUCGAUCGAUGAAGAGGGCCUUGCGGAUUAAGAACAAGCUUGGCUUUAUCGAUGGUACCCCCUGCGAGCCCAAAGAUCAGAAUAACCCAUUGAUGGAACAUUGGUUAAGGUGUAACGAUAUUGUCAUAAGCUGGAUGCAAAAUGCCAUGGAAACAGACAUCAAAAGCAGCACCAUCUAUGCUGAAACUGCUCAUCUCCUUUGGCUGGAUCUGGAGCAACGAUUCUCACAACAGAAUGCUCCACGAAUUUUCAAAGUUAAAAAGGACAUCACCACCUUGAUACAAAACCAAGAUUCUGUAAGUGUAUACUUCUCCAAACUCAAAAUUCUGCUUGAUGAACUGAUGAAUUAUGAGAGCAUACCUAACUGCACAUGUGGGGGAUUGAAUGUUGUAGUUCAAAAUCAGCAAAGAGACUGUGUUAUGAAGUUUUUGAUGGGAUUGAAUGAAACUUAUAAGGAAAUUAAGGCUCAAAUUCUGCUAAUCAAACCUUUUCCUAACUUAAAUGAGGUAUAUUCCUUAGUCCAGCAAGAAGAGAAAAGAAGGGAAAUAUCUAAUCCAGCUCCUACAAAUGCUGAUUCCAUGGCACUUCUCAGUAGAAGGAAUUUCAGAGAAAGAAAUGGCUAGAACUCUUCACCACACGGAAAGGAUAAGUUUACUGCACUUACUGCAAAACUGCUGGGCACUCACUUGAACGAUGUUUUAAAGCAAAUCCAAAUAGGCCUAUCUACAACUACUGUCAAAUGCCAGGACAUGGAACAGAUAAAUGCUACAAGCUUCAUGGGUUCCCACCAGGACAUAGCCUCAGUAAUAAGGGAAAAUUGGCUGCCAAUGUAGCCACUGCAAGUGUAGGCUCGAACAAGGAGGUGGUAAAAGACAGAGGCCAAGUAUCUUUAAGUCUUGAGCAAUACUCUUAGCUGCUAGCACUCCUCAAACCAACAGACAAUUCCCAGAACUUCACUCCAACACCAUCCAAUGCCCAAAUCCUCACUUCUACCCUUUCUGAGGAAAGUAACAAUAAAAUGUCUGGUAUAUCUCUAUCACUAACUGCUUUUCAUCACAGCCAAAGAGGUACACCUGAUAUCCCAUGGAUACUCGAUACUGGAGCAACAGACCACAUGGUCUGCUCCAUCUCAUAUUUUACAUCAAUUCAAGCAUGUGCAUCUCACUUUGUAAGUUUACCAAAUGGAGAAAAGGUUCCUGUCACACACAUAGGUACCAUCAAAUUUUCAGACUCCAUCAUCCUCUACAAUGUCCUUUGCAUACCUAGUUUUACUUUUAAUUUGAUUUCUAUAAAGAAGCUUACUCAAACUUUGAAUUGCUGCCUUACUUUCUUCUCUAAUUUCUACUGUAUUCAGGACUUUUCGACUUGGAAAAUGAUUGGAAUGGGUGAGGUGAAGGAUGGAUUAUACAAUAUGCUGAGAAAACCAGUCACUUCCUCAACUCUAUCAGAAAUCCUCAAUCAAAUCAAGUGUUCUCUUUCUGCCACUACUACAAAUAAACGUGAGGACAUCAAUCUAUGGCAUUACAGACUAGGUCAUUCUUCAUAUUCCAAUUUUAGUCCUGAUAGUAAUGUUUACCUAACACCAUCAUCUAAUCCCUGCACCAUCUGCCCUCUAGCCAAACAGCACAAGUUACCUUUCAAUGUAAGCAACAGCAAGACUAGAAAAUGUUUUGAGCUAAUUCACUGUGAUAUCUGGGGUCCUCGUAAGGAAUUAAGCAGAGAUGGUUCUAAAUAUUUUCUGUCUAUUGUAGAUGAUUUCAGUAAGUGCACGUGGAUUUAUAUGUUAAGGCUAAAGUCUGAUGCUACGACUGCUUUACAAAAUUUUUGUGUCAUGAUAGAAACCCAAUUUGAAGCCAAAAUAAAGACAAUUCGAACAGAUAAUGGAGGGGAGUUCAAUAUGGCCCAAUUUUAUUUAACAAAGGGCAUAAUACAUCAAAGAAGUUGUGUUGAAACACCUGAGCAAAAUGCAGUGGUUGAGAGAAAGAACCAACACAUUUUGAACAUAGCACGAGCCUUAAAAUUCCAAAGUGGGCUGCCUUUAAAAUACUGGAAUGAUUUUGUCCUUACAGCAGUUUAUCUAAUUAACAGGACACCAACUCCCAAUUUAAAUCAUAAAAGUCCCUUUGAGAUACUCUUUCAGAUUAAGCCCAACUAUACCCACCUAAGAGUUUUUGGUUGUCUAGCCUUCGCAGCCACACUCACCAAUGGCAGACAUAAGUUUGAUGCUAGGUCUAGAAGAUGUGUAUUCAUUGGCUACCCCUUUGGUGUGAAAGGUUAUAGAUUAUUGGACCUAGAAUCAGACAAAAUUUUCGUCUCAAGGAAUGUAAUAUUUCAUGAAGAUGUUUUUCCUUACAAGAACUCUAACCCCAACAGCAACAGACAACUGUCUGAUCUUACUCACCUCAGUUUCACACAAAACCUCAAUAUCUCCAAUGAUCCUGUCAUCACCGAGCCCUAUAAUGAUAACCAUGUCGAUCAUACUAAUACCAAUCAAAUAAGAUCUUCCCUUCCUGUUAUUCUAGAUAUUCCAGCUCACACACAAACUCCUAACUCCAAUACAGAUGUUAGUUAUGAAGGAGCACAACACCCUAUUGAUACCUUGGAACCAGAACAUCCUGCCACAACACAUUUACCCCGUAAGUCUGGAAGAAUUCGAAAGACUCCUACUUAUCUACAAAACUUCAUAUGUCAGCAGGUCUCCUCACCUCAUCCAUCCCAACAAUUGACCAAGCCAAAGGGAAUAAAUACAACAGGUACUAUCUUUCCCAUUAGUGACAAAAUUUCCUAUGAUAAAUUAUCUACACCUCAUCGUGCUUUUGUGACCUCAAUUACCAGUCAUUCUGAGCCCAGGAAUUAUCAAGAAGCCAUGACCUCACCUGAAUGGUGUGCUGCAAUGAAAGCUGAGAUUGAGGCUUUAGAACUUAAUAAUACUUGGGUUUUGGUCGAUUUACCACCAGGAAAGGAAGCCAUAGGAUGCAAGUGGGUGUAUAAAAUCAAAUUCAAUUCCAAUGGGAGCAUUGAAAGAUUCAAAGGGCGUCUAGUGGCGAAAGGAUUCACGCAACAAGAAGGGAUUGACUAUCAUGAAACGUUUUCCCCCGUUACCAAGGUAGUUACCAUCAGAACCUUGUUGGCAGUAGCAUCAAUCAAGAAAUGGAAUCUGUGCCAAUUUGAUGUAAAUAACGCAUUUUUGCAUGGAGAUUUGGAUGAAGAUGUUUACAUGGAACUAUCUCCUGGAUAUUCAGAUGGCUAUGGGAACAAAGUUUGCAAGCUACGGAAGAGCCUAUAUGGAUUGAAACAGGCCUCAUGACAAUGGUAUUCCAAGCUUUCAAAUUUCAUUAUUGGACAGGGGUUCGUCCAGUCCAAAGCAAACUAUAGCUUAUUCACUAAAACCACUGGCAAUUCCAUCACGAUCAUUCUAAUUUAUGUGGAUGAUAUAAUUAUGGCAGGAAGUUGCAUCAACACCAUUAACAAUCUCAAAGUUUGUCUCAACAAUAAGUUCAGAAUCAAGGAUCUUGGGAAUUUGAAAUUCUUUCUAGGUAUUGAAGUGGCAAGGACCAAACAAGGGAUAUAUAUAUGUCAAAGAAAAUAUGCUCUAGACAUCUCGACAGACUCAGGUACUUUUGGUUCAGCUCCUGCAAGAAUCCCCCUUGACCAGAACUUGAGGCUCAGCAAGGAUGAGGGAGAAUUACUUCCAGAUCCUUCACUCUACAGAAGGUUAAUAGGGAAAUUACUCUAUUUAACAAUUACCAGGCCUGACCUUGCAUAGUUGAUUCAAUUGUUGAGUCAAUACAUGAACAGUCCCAGAACUCCACAUUUAAAUGCUGCUCAUAAAGUCCUCAGGUAUAUCAAGAGAGUACCUAGACAAGGAUUGUUUUAUCCCGCAAAUUCAAAGCUGCAAUUGGAAGGAUACUGUGAUUCGGACUGGGGAGCUUGUCCGGACACCAGAAGAUCUACAACGGGUUAUUGUGUAUUCAUUGGGACAACCUUGAUAUCAUGGAAGUCAAAGAAACAACAUGUCAUAUCUCGAUCUUCAGCCGAAGCGAAAUAUAGGGCAAUGGCAAAUCUUUGCUGUGAAUUUGCCUGGCUCAGAUACUUGCUCAAGGAUUUACAAGUUGAUCAUCCUCAGGCAGCAGUCUUAAAUUGUGACAACAAGGCUGCAAUCCACAUUGCAACAAACCCGGUGUUCCAUGAAAGAACCAAACACAUAGAACUAGAUUGCCAUCUUAUUCGAGACAAGGUACAAGAUGGCAGCAUUGUUACCCAACACGUCAAUAGCACACUACAAAUUGCAGACAUCUUGACUAAGGCUUUGAGUUCUCAAAGUUUUUACUUUUGCAUGUCCAAGAUGGGAGUAAUGGAUAUAUACUCUCCAUCUUGCGGGGGGGCUAUUAAAAUUAGAAGAUAACUCAGCUGGAACAGUGGAAGGAAGCAGGCUCGAAGAUGGCUCAGCUGAAUAUUGGCAAGAAGGAAACCACGUGGACUUACUGUACAGCUGGAGAAAUAAUCACAUGGACUUGAUGACAGAGCAAUGGUAGAAUAGUCUAGAAAGAAAUUGGUUGGACAAGUUGGAUUUGUUGACAACAACCUCUCUCUCUGUGUAAAUUUGUUAGGAAAAGAUUCCUUUUAGUUGUAUAUAUACACAUUCCCAUUGUAUAUGAAAGAUACGGUUGAAUGAACAAAAAUUCUCAAUAUUAUUUCAGCUAAAUUGUGUUGAGUAUUUUUCAUUCUCCAAAACCAAUA